rnacentral:ncRNA from 1 species
CGCUGGUGCCGGCCCCAAUCAGGGUUAAUAGGGAACAAGGCGCACACCUGGGUGUGUAACCUUGGCUGUACCCGCAACUGUAAGCGGCUAGCAGAAGGUCAAUCGUGCCACUGACACUAUGUCGGGAAGGCUGACCCACUGCUCUCAUCCGCAAGCCAGGAGACCUGCCCGCAC